GUGCCAGCCGCCGCGGUAAUACGGAGGAUGCAAGCGUUAUCCGGAAUCAUUGGGCGUAAAGAGUCCGUAGGUGGUCAUGCAAGUCCAUUGUCAAAGACAGAAGCUUAACUUCUGGAAGGCGGUGGAAACUGUGAGACUAGAGAGAGGUAGGGGUAGAGGGAAUUCCCAGUGUAGCGGUGAAAUGCGUAGAGAUUGGGAAGAACACCGGUGGCGAAAGCGCUCUACUGGGCCUUUACUGACACUGAGGGACGAAAGCUAGGGGAGCGAAAGGGAUUAGAAACCCUCGUAGUCC
rnacentral:rRNA from 1 species